rnacentral:rRNA from 1 species
GACGAACGCUGGCGGCGUGCCUAAUACAUGCAAGUAGAACGCUGAAGAGAGGAGCUUGCUCUUCUUGGAUGAGUUGCGAACGGGUGAGUAACGCGUAGGUAACCUGCCUUGUAGCGGGGGAUAACUAUUGGAAACGAUAGCUAAUACCGCAUAACAAUGGAUGACACAUGUCAUUUAUUUGAAAGGGGCAAUUGCUCCACUACAAGAUGGACCUGCGUUGUAUUAGCUAGUAGGUGAGGUAAUGGCUCACCUAGGCGACGAUACAUAGCCGACCUGAGAGGGUGAUCGGCCACACUGGGACUGAGACACGGCCCAGACUCCUACGGGAGGCAGCAGUAGGGAAUCUUCGGCAAUGGGGGCAACCCUGACCGAGCAACGCCGCGUGAGUGAAGAAGGUUUUCGGAUCGUAAAGCUCUGUUGUAAGUCAAGAACGGGUGUGAGAGUGGAAAGUUCACACUGUGACGGUAGCUUACCAGAAAGGGACGGCUAACUACGUGCCAGCAGCCGCGGUAAUACGUAGGUCCCGAGCGUUGUCCGGAUUUAUUGGGCGUAAAGCGAGCGCAGGCGGUUUGAUAAGUCUGAAGUUAAAGGCUGUGGCCCAACCAUAGUUCGCUUUGGAAACUGUCAAACUUGAGUGCAGAAGGGGAGAGUGGAAUUCCAUGUGUAGCGGUGAAAUGCGUAGAUAUAUGGAGGAACACCGGUGGCGAAAGCGGCUCUCUGGUCUGUAACUGACGCUGAGGCUCGAAAGCGUGGGGAGCGAACAGGAUUAGAUACCCUGGUAGUCCACGCCGUAAACGAUGAGUGCUAGGUGUUGGAUCCUUUCCGGGAUUCAGUGCCGCAGCUAACGCAUUAAGCACUCCGCCUGGGGAGUACGACCGCAAGGUUGAAACUCAAAGGAAUUGACGGGGGCCCGCACAAGCGGUGGAGCAUGUGGUUUAAUUCGAAGCAACGCGAAGAACCUUACCAGGUCUUGACAUCCCGAUGCUAUUUCUAGAGAUAGAAAGUUACUUCGGUACAUCGGUGACAGGUGGUGCAUGGUUGUCGUCAGCUCGUGUCGUGAGAUGUUGGGUUAAGUCCCGCAACGAGCGCAACCCCUAUUGUUAGUUGCCAUCAUUCAGUUGGGCACUCUAGCGAGACUGCCGGUAAUAAACCGGAGGAAGGUGGGGAUGACGUCAAAUCAUCAUGCCCCUUAUGACCUGGGUUACACACGUGCUACAAUGGUUGGUACAACGAGUUGCGAGUCGGUGACGGCGAGCUAAUCUCUUAAAGCCAAUCUCAGUUCGGAUUGUAGGCUGCAACUCGCCUACAUGAAGUCGGAAUCGCUAGUAAUCGCGGAUCAGCACGCCGCGGUGAAUACGUUCCCGGGCCU